ACCUGUUUCACCAUCGCCAUGACGCAGGUGUACACCUGAUCACCUGAUCGGUCCAUCUCAGCUGUGGGCCGAGGCUACAACAACACAAUACUUACUUUUUAAUGACAAAAUUUAACAUAUAGCUCCAUUUCAGUACUACAAAUGUCAGCUGUGCAAACGGAAAGGAAAGUAUAUCUCAACCAAAUUAAUAAUAGAGGCGUGUUUUAUUUUUUUUACCUGUGAGAGUGUGGAAGGCAUUGGUGGCUUGUCUGGAGGACCUGACGGAGAAAGAAAAAGCUGCUUAUCGGCACAUUUUCUUGACCCGCACAUUUCCUGCACAUACGUUUGAUUGCAUGCAACCUACGGAGGCUGCAAGAAAAGAGGACGUGAAGUUAACAUUUUAAAGGAUUGGAGAUUCAAACUUCAAGUCAGAUCAGAGGUCAACUUAUUACGACAGGAGAGAGGAUCUGUUGGAGGAUCGUUGAGCUGAAGUAAAGGAAACGUUUCUCAGCGAAGCUGACAUCACUGGCUGUGGUGAAGCGUCUGAAGUUGAUGGACUCGGGCGCCAUCCAUUUGAUCGGUAAUCGACUAACUGAGGCUGCGCACAGAAGAGAAAUGGACAAAAAUAUAGGAUUGUAAUGGUGUGAAUGCAUGCUGGAGGUAAAUAAUACGCCACAUUAACAUUAAAAAAAGAGAUGAGUUUUAACACACUUGAAUGAGUUUCCCCUUUACUGCAAUUCUCUGAAAUUUUGACCACAG